UUACGGCCACAUCAUGUUGAAACACCGGUUCCCGUACGCUUACCGAAGUUAAGCAACAUCGAGCAUGGCCAGUACCUAGAUGGGUGACCUCUGGGGAAUAUCAGCUUCUGUA